CAAUAGCGUAUAUUAAAGUUGUUGCAGUUAAAAAGCUCGUAGUUGGAUUUCUGGUUGAAGCGACCGGUCGGGCGUUGAUUCGUCUGCACUGGAGUCGGUUUUGGCCAUCCUCUAGGAAAGUGCGUCUGGUAUUAAGUUAUCGGGCGUAUGAUCCUGGUCUUUUACUGUGAAAAAAUUAGAGUGUUUAAAGCAGGCCUUCGCCUUGAAUACAUUAGCAUGGAAUAAUAAGAUAGGACUUUGGUCUAUUUUGUUGGUUUGCAGACCGAAGUAAUGAUUAAUAGGGAUAGUUGGGGGUAUUUAUAUUCCGAUGUCAGAGGUGAAAUUCUUAGAUUUUCGGAAGAUAAACUUAUGCGAAAGCAUCUACCAAGGAUGUUUNCAUUAA
rnacentral:rRNA from 1 species